rnacentral:rRNA from 1 species
UAGGGAAUAUUGCACAAUGGGGGAAACCCUGAUGCAGCGACGCCGCGUGAGUGAUGAAGCCCUUCGGGGUGUAAAGCUCUUUCGACGGGAACGAUUAUGACGGUACCCGGAGAAGAAGCUGCGGCUAACUACGUGCCAGCAGCCGCGGUAAUACGUAGGCAGCAAACGUUGUUCGGAAUUACUGGGCGUAAAGCGAGUGUAGGUGGUUGUCCAAGUUGGAUGUGAAAGCCUUGAGCUCAACUCAAGAAAUGCAUUCAGGACUGGAUGACUAGAGGACCGGAGAGGAUAGUGGAAUUCCCAGUGUAGUGGUGAAAUACGUAGAGAUUGGGAAGAACACCAGUGGCGAAGGCAGGUUACUGGACCAUUUCUGACACUGAGGCACGAAAGCGUGGGGAGCGAACC